AUGAACGCUAGCUACAGGCUUAACACAUGCAAGUCGAGGGGCAGCAUGGUCUUAGCUUGCUAAGGCUGAUGGCGACCGGCGCACGGGUGAGUAACACGUAUCCAACCUGCCGUCUACUCUUGGCCAGCCUUCUGAAAGGAAGAUUAAUCCAGGAUGGGAUCAUGAGUUCACAUGUCCGCAUGAUUAAAGGUAUUUUCCGGUAGACGAUGGGGAUGCGUUCCAUUAGAUAGUAGGCGGGGUAACGGCCCACCUAGUCAACGAUGGAUAGGGGUUCUGAGAGGAAGGUCCCCCACAUUGGAACUGAGACACGGUCCAAACUCCUACGGGAGGCAGCAGUGAGGAAUAUUGGUCAAUGGGCGAUGGCCUGAACCAGCCAAGUAGCGUGAAGGAUGACUGCCCUAUGGGUUGUAAACUUCUUUUAUAAAGGAAUAAAGUCGGGUAUGCAUACCCGUUUGCAUGUACUUUAUGAAUAAGGAUCGGCUAACUCCGUGCCAGCAGCCGCGGUAAUACGGAGGAUCCGAGCGUUAUCCGGAUUUAUUGGGUUUAAAGGGAGCGUAGAUGGAUGUUUAAGUCAGUUGUGAAAGUUUGCGGCUCAACCGUAAAAUUGCAGUUGAUACUGGAUGUCUUGAGUGCAGUUGAGGCAGGCGGAAUUCGUGGUGUAGCGGUGAAAUGCUUAGAUAUCACGAAGAACUCCGAUUGCGAAGGCAGCCUGCUAAGCUGCAACUGACAUUGAGGCUCGAAAGUGUGGGUAUCAAACAGGAUUAGAUACCCUGGUAGUCCACACGGUAAACGAUGAAUACUCGCUGUUUGCGAUAUACGGCAAGCGGCCAAGCGAAAGCGUUAAGUAUUCCACCUGGGGAGUACGCCGGCAACGGUGAAACUCAAAGGAAUUGACGGGCACCCGCACAAGCGGUGGAGCAUGUGGUUUAAUUCGAAGCAACGCGAAGAACCUUACCAAGUCUUGACAUCCUUCUGACCGGUACUUAAUCGUACCUUCUCUUCGGAGCAGGAGUGACAGGUGGUGCAUGGUUGUCGUCAGCUCGUGUCGUGAGAUGUUGGGUUAAGUCCCGCAACGAGCGCAACCCUUGCCACUAGUUACUAACAGGUGAUGCUGAGGACUCUGACAAGACUGCCAUCGUAAGAUGUGAGGAAGGUGGGGAUGACGUCAAAUCAGCACGGCCCUUACGUCCGGGGCUACACACGUGUUACAAUGGGGGGUACAGAGGGCCGCUACCACGCGAGUGGAUGCCAAUCCCUAAAACCCCUCUCAGUUCGGACUGGAGUCUGCAACCCGACUCCACGAAGCUGGAUUCGCUAGUAAUCGCGCAUCAGCCACGGCGCGGUGAAUACGUUCCCGGGCCUUGUACACACCGCCCGUCAAGCCAUGGGAGCCGGGGGUACCUGAAGUGCGUAACCGCGAGGAUCGCCCUAGGGUAAAACUGGUGACUGGGGCU
rnacentral:rRNA from 1 species